rnacentral:rRNA from 1 species
GACGAACGCUGGCGGCGUGCUUAACACAUGCAAGUCGAACGAUGAAGCCCAGCUUGCUGGGUGGAUUAGUGGCGAACGGGUGAGUAACACGUGAGUAACCUGCCCUGGACUCUGGGAUAACCCCGAGAAAUCGGAGCUAAUACCGGAUAGGACCUUUCCUCGCAUGAGGUUUGGUGGAAAGUUUUUCGGUUUGGGAUGGACUCGCGGCCUAUCAGCUUGUUGGUGAGGUAAUGGCUCACCAAGGCGUCGACGGGUAGCCGGCCUGAGAGGGUGACCGGCCACACUGGGACUGAGACACGGCCCAGACUCCUACGGGAGGCAGCAGUGGGGAAUAUUGCACAAUGGGCGCAAGCCUGAUGCAGCAACGCCGCGUGCGGGAUGACGGCCUUCGGGUUGUAAACCGCUUUUAGUAGGGAAGAAGGGCUUCGGCUUGACGGUACCUGCAGAAAAAGGACCGGCUAACUACGUGCCAGCCGCCGCCGUAAAAC